rnacentral:lncRNA from 1 species
AUGACCUGUGGAUCGGCUUGCUUUAGCUCCCGCAGUGGAGUCCGCAAUUCCAGCUCCUCUGUGACCACUCAAAGGUACUGUCCUGGUCGCACCUUCAGCUGCGGCUCGGCCGGCGGAUCCAGGCCCAGCCGCUGCUGCGUCACGGCUGCUCCUUACCGCGGUGUCUCCUGCUACCGCGGCCUCACUGGGGGCUUCAGCAGUCGCAGUGUCUGCGGGGGCUCCCGUGCUGGUUCCAGUAGCCGCAGCUUUGGGUACCGCUCUGGCAGCCCCAGCCCUCCCUGCAUCACCUCCGUGUCAGUCAACCAGAGCCUCCUCAAGCCCCUCAACCUGGAGAUCGACCACAAUGCACAGCGCGUAAAGAACCAGGAGAAGGAGCAGAUCAAGAGCCUCAACAGCAAGUUUGCUGCCUUCAUUGACAAGGUGCGCUUCCUGGAGCAGCAGAACAAGCUGCUGGAGACCAAGUGGCAAUUGUACCAGAACCAGCGCAGCUGCGAGAGCAACCUGGGGCCCCUGUUCAAUGGCUACAUCGAGACACUGAGGCGGGAGGCUGAGCGUGUGGAGGCCGACACCGGGAGGCUGGCCUCAGAGCUCAACCACGUGCAGGAGGUGCUGGAGGGCUACAAGAAGAAGUAUGAAGAGGAGAUCGCCCUGAAGACCACGGCAGAGAAUGAGUUUGUCAAAAUCAAGCAGGAGGUUAACCAUGUCUAUGUGAGCAAGGGAGAUCUGGAGGCCAACGCACACAGCCUGGUAGAGGAGGUGGGCUUCCUGAAGACCCUGUAUGAAGAGGAGUUGAGAGUCAUUCAAGCCCACAUCUCAGACACCUCGGUCAUCGUCAAGAUGGACAAUAGCAGGUACCUGAACAUGGACAGCAUUGUCGCCGAGAUCAAGGCUCACUAUGAUGAAAUCGCCAGCCGCAGCCGGGCCGAGGCUGAAAGCUGGUACCGCAGCAAGUAUGAAGAGAUCAAGGCCACAGUGAAUCGGCAUGGGGAGACUCUGCGCCGCACCAAGGAGGAGAUCAAUGAGCUCAACCGCCUGAUCCAGAGGCUGACAGCUGAGAUUGAAAAUGCUAAGAGCCAGAACUCCAAGCUGGAGGCCGCAGUGACCCAGGCGGAGCAGCAGGGCGAGGCGGCCCUUAAUGAUGCCCGGGGCAAGCUGGCGGGGCUGGAGAAAGCCCUGCAGAAGGCCAAGCAGGACAUGGCCAGCCUGGUCAAGCAGUACCAGGAGGUGAUGAGCUCCAAGCUGGGCCUGGACAUCGAGAUCGCCACCUACAGGCGCCUGCUGGAGGGCGAGGAGCAGAGGUGGGUACAGUCUGCACAGCUGGGGCCUCAAUUGCAGAGACCUGGCCCAUUUUUUUUUUCCUCUACUACUUCCCCAUUCCUUCUUCUGCUCACAUCUUGGAACCCUUUCUGGCUCCCUCUCUGCUCCGAGGAGAGGCUGAGAACAGUCUCAGUUGAGCCCACUGUCUGA